GUCGACACGCGGAAGUGGAGGAAUGUCUAUGGCAGGUAGCUUCUGCCAAACUGCCAAGUAGAUAACUGGUUUAAAACAAAAAGAACCGGAUUUGCCAAACCUCAAUGGGGAAAACUUGGCUGGAGUGGACUUGUUGCUGUCCGCGGAAGAAGUCGUCGGGAGAGGCGCGUUCAUGCGCGGCGACGGCUCCAUGCGAGAUGACAAGAUGCUGAGUUCUUCCUGUCACGUUCGGUGCGCAUUGCGAUGCGCGGAGGUGUCAACUCAAGAUGCAUGGGACCAGACAAGCAAGUUAGCAGGGACCUGUGGCAAAUCAAGUCAAAAGUGUCAUGGCCCGAGCGGACCCUAGUGCAUGGACAUAUGUACUCUGCGCCGGGUGCACCUCCAAGAGCACGCUAGGCGUGCGCUGCGCCGGCUGCAACAAGUGGCCGCAUUUAAUCAUCAGCAAUCAAUGCACCUGUCGCUAAUGAGAAGAGCUGCCUUCUUAAGCCUGCGCAACCUGCUAUCCUGUGCCAGAACGUGGCGAUCUGUUCCCAUACCCUAAGCCGUCAUUCAAGCUCUAUACUCUCUCUUUGUGCUCCUUUCCCAUCCUGUGCACUUGUCUGGUGUUUCCUUGCCGAUCCAGCAGCCUUCCUUCGUUCCCGCAUUACGAGCUGUGGGUCUUGUCUCCCUGUGUUCCCCUCUAGUUCUUUGGCUGCCCCUUUUGGAUCUCGACCACCCGCCUGGACACAGACUUUGACACUACUGCCUGCCUGUUCUCAUGGACCUCCGAGACAGCCUGCCCCUCUUGGACUUCCGCCUUACGCUCAACACUUCUGUCACCCAUCCACACAGUGAAGGCGGGAGCUGCCAUGCAAGGCCCAAACCACGACAAAUCAGGAGCAAGGGUGAAGUGUCUCGCUCGAGGACAGAAGGGGCAUGACUAGGAUGGCGGAAGCUGGGGAUCGAAACAGGAACCCUCGAAUUGCAGGCACGGCCGCUCUACCAUCCGAGCCACGCAGCCCCCCAGUGCCCGUGCCUUUUUUGAAUGACUUACAGGAAAAACAUUGGUCAAAGAUCCUCCAUUUGAAAGUUGUUUUUGAUGGAUUAACACCAAAAACGUUAAUCAAAGAUAUUCUAUAAAUAACAGGAGUGUUCUGAUGUUAUGAUGGACCUACUGCAAAAAAAAAAAAAACCCUGGUCAAAGAUCCUCCAUUUGACAGGUGUUUUUGAUGGAUUAAAACCAAAAAUGCUAAUCAAAGAUUCUCUAUAAAUAACAGGAGUGUUCUGUUGUUAUGAUGGACCUACUGAAAACAUAAAAAACAACUAGUCAAAGAUUCUCUAUGACAGGAAUUCUUCUCAUUUUAGGAACAGGCAGCAAAAGCCUUGACUGUUCCGCUCAGGAUUGAAUUCAAAAUCUCCCUACUAACUCACCAGUGCCUCCAUGGAAAUGCCCCCGUCUACCUCAAAGAACUGCUCACCCGCAAAUCUUCCACACGACACCUCCGCUCCAAUCAGGUUAACCUCCUCCAACCUCCAAGGACAAAGCUACGUACUAUGGGAGACCGGGCUUUCUGCUCCGCUGCUCCCAGUCUGUGGAACGCUCUCCCUGACCACCUGAGGGCCCCUCAGACUGU